rnacentral:rRNA from 1 species
GACGAACGCUGGCGGCGUGCUUAACACAUGCAAGUCGAACGGAAAGGCCCCUUUGGGGGUACUCGAGUGGCGAACGGGUGAGUAACACGUGAGUAACCUGCCCUUGACUUCGGGAUAACUUCAGGAAACUGGGGCUAAUACCGGAUAGGAAUCCUUGCUGCAUGGUGGGGGUUGGAAAGCUUCGGCGGUUUUGGAUGGACUCGCGGCUUAUCAGCUUGUUGGUGGGGUAGUGGCUUACCAAGGCUUUGACGGGUAGCCGGCCUGAGAGGGCGACCGGCCACAUUGGGACUGAGAUACGGCCCAGACUCCUACGGGAGGCAGCAGUGGGGAAUAUUGCACAAUGGGCGGAAGCCUGACGCAGCAACGCCGCGGGCGGGAUGACGGCCUUCGGGUUGUAAACCGCUUUCAGCAGGGGCGAAGCUUGUGGUGACGGUACCUGCAGAAGAAGCACCGGCUAACUACGUG